GGGUCAUAUCAGAAAGAUAUGUUUGAUGAAAUUAACUACAGAAUCAAGAAGUAUAUACUCAAAAAUGCAAAUACUACAAUAUAUAAGACAAUGCUGGAGUGCAAUGGUGCAAUCUUGGCUCACUGCAACCUCCGCCUCCUGGGUUCAAAUGAUUCUCCUGCCUCAGCCUCCCAAGUAGCUGGGACUACAGACCGCAACCAAUUGCUCUUCCUUCCCAUUGAAAGAAACCCAGGCUGUACCUGCUCUUUCAUCUCCUGUGUGGAAAACAUCUAUCGGCUGGAAGCCCUGAGUCUUCAUUUUCAAGGAUUUUAGUUGUAAGCUGUUUAAGGCAUAAGCUAAAGUUUCAGGCAGAGGUAAUUUUAGUAGUUAAGCCUGAUUUUUACUUCCACCCUCUGUCCUCCAGGGCUAUAUGGGAAGCUUUCUGUGAGUGGAUAAGCUCUUUAGCUAAGAUGUAAACAUGUUCCCUGCUAUCUGAUAAAGGUUCCUGGAGACUGACACUUUAAAAAAAAAAAAAAAAAGAAAGUGAGGAAAAAAAGAAAAGGAGAAACUGAAUCCAAGGCUUACAAAGGGAUUAGAAAACUGUACCCCAGAUGGAAAAUUUUAUGGGCUCUGGAGAAAAUGUGUAAGUGAAAUAUCGGUAUCAUAAAAUAACAGGAAAUAGUGUAAUCUACCUGAUGGAGAAAAUUGUCACUUUAAAAAAACUAUCCUAAUUUCCUUCAAAAUUGUUCUUGUUUUUGAGCCAAUAAACUUCAGCUAAGCUCA
rnacentral:lncRNA from 1 species